rnacentral:rRNA from 1 species
UGGGGAAUAUUGCACAAUGGGCGCAAGCCUGAUGCAGCCAUGCCGCGUGUUUGAAGAAGGCCUUCGGGUUGUAAAGCACUUUCAGCGGGGAGGAAGGCGAUAAGGUUAAUAACCUCAUCGAUUGACGUUACCCGCAGAAGAAGCACCGGCUAACUCCGUGCCAGCAGCCGCGGUAAUACGGAGGGUGCAAGCGUUAAUCGGAAUUACUGGGCGUAAAGCGCACGCAGGCGGUCUGUCAAGUCGGAUGUGAAAUCCCCGGGCUCAACCUGGGAACUGCAUUCGAAACUGGCAGGCUAGAGUCUUGUAGAGGGGGGUAGAAUUCCAGGUGUAGCGGUGAAAUGCGUAGAGAUCUGGAGGAAUACCGGUGGCGAAGGCGGCCCCCUGGACGAAGACUGACGCUCAGGUGCGAAAGCGUGGGGAGCAAACAGG